GUCAGGAUAGCUCAGUUGGUAGAGCAGAGGA
rnacentral:tRNA from 1 species